rnacentral:lncRNA from 1 species
AUUGUACCGGUCAAUUUAAACAAUUAAUGGAUUAAUAAAGAAUAUAAAUAAUGACAGUACGAGUGUCAUUGGAACUUAAACAUAGUGAAUCAUUUAACCUCUGCGCGAAAGUUGUUAAAUGUAAUCGUUUACACUGUCAUUGUAAACGAUUACGGUAAUGAAAGUUCAUUUUUGGACACAGAUUUCGUCUGCAGGAACCACUAGUCAUAACGUAGGGGACCCUAUUGUACACAUGAACCAGUUUGGGAAUAUUGCAUUAAGAAAAACAAACAUUGGUUUCAUUGAUACAUUCUUCACCACAACUUUCAUUCACAAUAACAAAGGUCUGAGAACGAGAAUGAUGGUCCGAGAACGAGAAUGCUCCGACGACGAUAACGACACGAAAGAGGUUUCACCACACACCCACAACGACAAUGAUGGUCCGAGAACGAGAACAACCUUUCACAAUGACGACGCCUGAGAAAAACCCAAACCACUAAAGUGAUGGUCCGAGAACGAGAAUGCUCCGACGACGAUAACGACACGAAAGAGGUUUCGCCAGACACCCACAACGACAAUGAUGGUCCGAGAACGAGAACAACCUUUCACAAUGACAACGCCUGAGAAAACUUGGAGAAGGAGGCCGGCGAAGAGACGUAGGGAGAUGAGAGAACCGUCAGAGAGCACGAAAAUGAAAAAUGAAAGAGAGCGCCAAAACUAAAACCCCACACUCGACAUUCCAUCUUUGCCCCUCACUUAUUCCAUCUUUGCCCCUCAGCAUAUUAAACAAUGUCAUUUUUCAAAAAUAAAAAACCACCCAAUCAGACAACGACACCUGUCCAAUGUCAAAAGAGUGUCAAAAUUGGGUGUUAAAGUAACAUUUUCCUUCUAGUUUACAUGUCACAUGGUAAACACUGUGAUCAUUAUUAUGGCAUAAUAUUAACAACACUGUGAUCACAUGAUAAACAUUUAUAUAUUAUCUUUGUGUUAACUGGUGUUUCGAUGUCCAAAUCGAUCGAUGAUAUUAUAUAUUAUUAAUAGUCAUACGAGAUUUAUUUAGAAAUAUAGAG